rnacentral:rRNA from 1 species
UAAUACGUAGGUGGCAAGCGUUAUCCGGAUUUAUUGGGCGUAAAGCGAGCGCAGGCGGUUGCUUAGGUCUGAUGUGAAAGCCUUCGGCUUAACCGAAGAAGUGCAUCGGAAACCGGGCGACUUGAGUGCAGAAGAGGACAGUGGAACUCCAUGUGUAGCGGUGGAAUGCGUAGAUAUAUGGAAGAACACCAGUGGCGAAGGCGGCUGUCUGGUCUGCAACUGACGCUGAGGCUCGAAAGCAUGGGUAGCGAACAGGAUUAGAUACCCUGGUAGUCCAUGCCGUAAACGAUGAGUGCUAGGUGUUGGAGGGUUUCCGCCCUUCAGUGCCGGAGCUAACGCAUUAAGCACUCCGCCUGGGGAGUACGACCGCAAGGUUG